rnacentral:rRNA from 1 species
CUACGGGGGGCUGCAGUGGGGAAUAUUGGACAAUGGGGGAAACCCUGAUCCAGCAAUGCCGCGUGUGUGAAGAAGGCCUGCGGGUUGUAAAGCACUUUCGGUUGGGAGGACUGCUUCUAGCACUAAUAUUGUUGGAAGUUGACGUUACCUUCAGAAGAAGCACCGGCUACCUCCGUGCCAGCAGCCGCGGUAAUACGGAGGGUGCAAGCGUUAAUCGGAAUUACUGGGCGUAAAGCGCGCGUAGGCGGCUAGAUCAGUCGGGUGUGAAAGCCCCGGGCUUAACCUGGGAACUGCAUCCGAUACUGUCGAGCUUGAGUACAGGAGAGGAGAGUGGAAUUCCACAUGUAGCGGUGAAAUGCGUAGAUAUGUGGAGGAACACCAAUGGCGAAGGCAGCUCUCUGGCCUGAUACUGACGCUGAGGUGCGAGAGCGUGGGGAGCAAACAGGAUUAGAUACCCUCGUAGUC